rnacentral:rRNA from 1 species
GACGAACCGUGCGAACGUUAUUCGGAGUCACUGGGCUUAAAGCGCGUGUAGGCGGAUGAGCACGUCUGUCGCUGAAAUCCCCCGGCUCAACCGGGGAACGGGCGCGGAUACGGCUCGUCUCGAGGGGCGUAGGGGGACCUGGAACUUCCGGUGGAGCGGUGAAAUGCGUUGAGAUCGGAAGGAACGCCCGUGGCGAAAGCGAGGUCCUGGACGCCUACUGACGCUGAGACGCGAAAGCCAGGGGAGCGAACGGG